CAGCAGCCGCGGUAAUGCGUAGGUGGCAAGCGUUGUCCGGAAUUAUUGGGCGUAAAGGGCUCGCAGGCGGUUUCUUAAGUCUGAUGUGAAAGCCCCCGGCUCAACCGGGGAGGGUCAUUGGAAACUGGGAAACUUGAGUGCAGAAGAGGAGAGUGGAAUUCCACGUGUAGCGGUGAAAUGCGUAGAGAUGUGGAGGAACACCAGUGGCGAAGGCGACUCUCUGGUCUGUAACUGACGCUGAGGAGCGAAAGCGUGGGGAGCGAACAGGAUUAGAUACCCGAGUAGUCCCUGUCUCUUAUAC
rnacentral:rRNA from 1 species